rnacentral:rRNA from 1 species
UAGGGAAUCUUCCGCAAUGGACGCAAGUCUGACGGAGCAACGCCGCGUGAGUGAAGAAGGAUUUCGGUUCGUAAAACUCUGUUGUUAGAGAAGAACAGCGCAUAGAGUAACUGUUAUGCGUGUGACGGUAUCUAACCAGAAAGCCACGGCUAACUACGUGCCAGCAGCCGCGGUAAUACGUAGGUGGCAAGCGUUGUCCGGAUUUAUUGGGCGUAAAGCGAGCGCAGGCGGUCAAUUAAGUCUGAUGUGAAAGCCCCCGGCUCAACCGGGGAGGGUCAUUGGAAACUGGUUGACUUGAGUGCAGAAGAGGAGAGUGGAAUUCCAUGUGUGGCGGUGAAAUGCGUAGAUAUAUGGAGGAACACCGGUGGCGAAAGCGGCUCUCUGGUCUAUAACUGACGCUGAGGCUCGAAAGCGUGGGGAGCGAACAGG